UUUCCAGGAUUUCACAAGAUAUAACUGUAAUAUUUCACAGUUAAUUACAUUAUUACCACUUCACAGGCUUUAACUGUGAUAAUUCACAAUAUAAUACCGUAUUUAGACUUUUACUGUGAAAAUAAUGCAGGCGCGGGGCUUUUACAAGAAACUACUGUGAAUGCCGUCUUUUUUGAGUGGCAACUGCGGCAGCGUCAUCAGAGCGUCAUCAGAGCUCUCUGAUCUACGUGGUCUCAUUCGGUGGAUUCAGACAGCGCAUUUUCUACAUUGACCGACGAUAAAUAAAGUUAUAAGGUGCUUCUUGGGCAUCAACCCAGAGACGGGCACAAAAUCUAAGAGGCAGAGAGGUCACAUGAACCAGCAAGUCUGCACUCUUAUCAGGAAGCUCAUUGACUUCGAAUGGAUGUCAAUCUAAUUGGAUAGAACCCACACUAUGCAGGUGCCAGCUGCGAGGGAAGGAGAGAGACACCUGCGACCCUCUCUAUUCCCACCUUUUUGUCUUUUCUUACAUCUCUCUCCCUCACUCUCUCUUCUCUGUCUCCUUCUUUCUCUUUUGACACACAUUCCUGUUACCCAGUGUCAAUCCCUGUUGCCCAGUGUUUUAUUCAUGUAAUUAAAUUGUAUUUUACUUCUAAAAAAUAAAAGUUAUGUCACUGUUUU